CAGAAAACAGUGAAUCGGGAAGAAAAUCUCAUAGGAAAAAUCCCGCAUAGAGUCAAGUUGUCCGUGCGGGUGCUGGGCACUGGGCGUGUACGCAUGUGCGCAUAAUAGUCGCGGAACGUGUGCACAGUGCGCACAUCCCCUAUGUACACACGCAUGCACGGGACGUUAGGACAACGUGCACGUCCCCUCCGCAUGCAAGCACGCAUGAGAC
rnacentral:lncRNA from 1 species